rfam:Gossypium hirsutum cultivar TM-1 chromosome 5, whole genome shotgun sequence
AUUCCGUGAUGAGGGCACUUCCGUAAUAAUUCUUUGUACCUUUCCCAUGCUUCAUACAAUGACUCAUCAUCCAUUUGUUGGAAAGCAGUGUUCUCGUUCCUCAACUU